GUCCUUCCCGCCCACUUCCGSCAGGCUUCAGAGUCACAACACUCUUUGGUUGUUUCUGUGAACCGGCGUUGAGUUGACAUUAAUUCACAGCAGGUCGAGUGUUUAGCUGUGAUGCUUGGAGAGAGGGCUGGGCUGCAGAGAGACGGGGGCCGAUGCUGCUGCUGGAAACAUGACUGCUGCUGCUGCUGAGUGACAUUUAGUUACCUUUUCUGCUCAGUAUGAACAGCGAGGAGGAGUUUUACGACGCUGAGACAGGGCUGGAGUCGGAUGAUUCCUGUGAGGUCAGUUUCAAAGAUGCCCUGGUGUUUGACAACAAGCAGGGCACCGAUGGCAGCUCACACGAGAAUGGAGAAGUGUGGGAGCGCAGGUGAGUGAUCUGGCACAGCUCUUCUAAGAAA